rnacentral:rRNA from 1 species
UACGUAGGGGGCAAGCGUUGUCCGGAUUUAUUGGGCGUAAAGAGCGUGUAGGCGGCCAGGUAGGUCAGCUGUGAAAACUCGAGGCUCAACCUCGAGACGCCGGUUGAAACCAUCUGGCUAGAGUCCGGAAGAGGAGAGUGGAAUUCCUGGUGUAGCGGUGAAAUGCGUAGAUAUCGGGAGGAACACCAGUGGCGAAGGCGACUUUCUGGCCUGUUCUUGACGCUGAGGCGCGAAAGCUAGGGGAGCAAACGGG